rnacentral:rRNA from 1 species
GACGAACGCUGGCGGCGUGCUUAACACAUGCAAGUCGAACGGAAAGGCCCUGCUUUUGUGGGGUGCUCGAGUGGCGAACGGAUGAGUAACACGUGAGUAACCUGCCCUUGACUUUGGGAUAACUUCAGGAAACUGGGGCUAAUACCGGAUAGGAGCUCCUGCUGCAUGGUGGGGGUUGGAAAGUUUCGGCGGUUGGGGAUGGACUCGCGGCUUAUCAGCUUGUUGGUGGGGUAGUGGCUUACCAAGGCUUUGACGGGUAGCCGGCCUGAGAGGGUGACCGGCCACAUUGGGACUGAGAUACGGCCCAGACUCCUACGGGAGGCAGCAGUGGGGAAUAUUGCACAAUGGGCGGAAGCCUGAUGCAGCAACGCCGCGUGCGGGAUGACGGCCUUCGGGUUGUAAACCGCUUUCGCCUGUGACGAAGCGUGAGUGACGGUAAUGGGUAAAGAAGCACCGGCUAACUACGUGCCAGCAGCCGCGGUGAUACGUAGGGUGCGAGCGUUGUCCGGAUUUAUUGGGCGUAAAGGGCUCGUAGGUGGUUGAUCGCGUCGGAAGUGUAAUCUUGGGGCUUAACCCUGAGCGUGCUUUCGAUACGGGUUGACUUGAGGAAGGUAGGGGAGAAUGGAAUUCCUGGUGGAGCGGUGGAAUGCGCAGAUAUCAGGAGGAACACCAGUGGCGAAGGCGGUUCUCUGGGCCUUUCCUGACGCUGAGGAGCGAAAGCGUGGGGAGCGAACAGGCUUAGAUACCCUGGUAGUCCACGCUGUAAACGGUGGGUACUAGGUGUGGGGUCCAUUCCACGGGUUCCGUGCCGUAGCUAACGCUUUAAGUACCCCGCCUGGGGAGUACGGCCGCAAGGCUAAAACUCAAAGGAAUUGACGGGGCCCCGCACAAGCGGCGGAGCAUGCGGAUUAAUUCGAUGCAACGCGUAGAACCUUACCUGGGUUUGACAUGGAUCGGGGGUGCUCAGAGAUGGGUGUGCCUCUUUUGGGGUCGGUUCACAGGUGGUGCAUGGCUGUCGUCAGCUCGUGUCGUGAGAUGUUGGGUUAAGUCCCGCAACGAGCGCAACCCUUGUUCACUGUUGCCAGCACGUUAUGGUGGGGACUCAGUGGAGACCGCCGGGGUCAACUCGGAGGAAGGUGGGGAUGACGUCAAGUCAUCAUGCCCCUUAUGUCCAGGGCUUCACGCAUGCUACAAUGGCUGGUACAGAGAGUGGCGAGCCUGUGAGGGUGAGCGAAUCUCGGAAAGCCGGUCUCAGUUCGGAUUGGGGUCUGCAACUCGACCUCAUGAAGUCGGAGUCGCUAGUAAUCGCAGAUCAGCAACGCUGCGGUGAAUACGUUCCCGGGGCU